rnacentral:lncRNA from 1 species
GAAAAUUGUCUAUACAAACCCAAAAUGGUUCUCUUGGGCAACCUGCAAAGGACUAGUGGUGGAGCACCCGGUUAUCUCAAGCUGAAAUUCUAUGCCUUACUGCUACACAUACCCUCCUGGGCAGGGAACACAUCACUAAAGAGACUUUAAUAACCUCCAAGUCUACAGGUUUCAGCUUGCAAUGCUUCCCAGACCUCAGUAAAUGGGAGGAGGAGCUGGAGAAGGAAAUGAAGACAAUUUACACUGCGGUCUUGGAGGCUCACCGCUAGGGGCAGAGUGGGUUGUACUCGCCAGGUUAAAACAACUCCCAGACAACCUAUUCACGUGAGAGCUCAAAGCAGCCAUAAUUUUCUGCACUCAAAAUCUUUCCGGUAAGGUUCUCCGCGUAUUGUCUCCUUGGUAAUUGGAAAACAUGGGACUGGGAGUGCAAUUGCAGGGCAUCUCCAGUCCUCCAGGAUACGAUCUGGCUGCUACAGAAGAGGACCAGGAGGAAGCUCUGCUCAGAAAAAGGAUAGAAAGGCAGCAUGGAAACCCUGCUUCAAGGAAACACGAGAUUCACUAUGCUCUUGGCGAACCUCCCGCGAAAAGAGACUUCUAGGUGAGCCACAGUCGUGAGUUUGGAUAACAUGGGAAUAGCUUCCUGGAAAGUGGCGUUCCACUUGCAGUUACUCCAAGAGUUGCAAAAAUAACAGAGGACCUGAUUUCAGAGGAGGGGAGUCUUGCAGAGUCGCGGUAGCUCUGGUCCUGGAGAUUCAGCCAUGCGCACAUUUGUGCGCACUCAGUGCCUGCUGAUUCUGCUGAGCAGCAAACUGUGCACUGCUCAGGCUUCGGAACUUUUACAAAUAAUUCGUAGCCAAAAGGACGUCUUGUGGAAUUGUUAUCUAUGAAGAGGUUAAGGAAAAAUUCAGCACCGAAACCCUAGUCUUGAUUCUGAACACUCUACUUGCUCUGUUUUCCCUUAGGGAGGAAGGAUCCCCAGAGAGGCUCCCUGACCACUGCAAGCACUUCUCAAAGGGCUUGAAGGAGCUCAACGAAAAAACCCCAUUGCUGCCCAAGACUUCUGAGAGCCAAACUGGUAGAUUUGUGCAACCUGCAGUGAAAUUGUCCACACUAUACGCAAAGAUUAAACUCUGUGUCUUUAUAAGCAGGCAGAAAGGAUUCCAGCUUCCUUAGGUGUUCGCUGAUUGGGAUCCAGAAGCCCGCAACAAAUGGAUUCGCUUCCUCCUUUGUGCUUUCUCCUCCAGGGAGGAAGGAUCCCCAGAGAGGCUCCCUGACCACUGCAAGCACUUCUCAAAGGGCUUGAAGGAGCUCAACGAAAAAACCCCAUUGCUGCCCAAGACUUCUGAGAGCCAAACUGGUAGAUUUGUGCAACCUGCAGUGAAAUUGUCCACACCGAUACGCAAAGGUUAAACUCUGUGCCUUUAUAAGCAAGCAGAAAGGAUUCCAGCUUCCUUAGGUGUUCGCUGAUUGGGAUCCAGAAGACCACAGCAAAUGGAUUCGCUUCCUCCUUUGUGCUUUCUCCUCCAGGAUCAGCAGCUGUGGAAAGUGCGAGCCUGGAUCCAUAUUUUCUGCUUCAUCCCUGUGUCUUCAGCUGGCAUUGGUGCAAGGGGAGCUCAGUGACCAAGCGCCCUGAGAUAAUUCUGCCAGAGAACCUCAGUACUGCCCAGGGACUUCUGGAUGUCUGUGCAGUUUUAUAUUCCUUAAGAAGCUCCUUUUCAAAUUGGAUUCUACUUCAGGAAAAACAAAAAAAAAAAAGCCAAAAAGAAAAUGAAUUCACCACUUCAAAAAAUGAAUUGGCGGAGGGAGAGAACCUGGAAGAAGCCUAUCUUGGCAUUCUUGAUACUACACUGCCAUCCAGCGGAAUUACUUUGCUGUACUGCCACCACCUCUAUGAAGCUUUUUCUCAGCCUAUCUGAAAGUGAGUUGUGAGUGCCCAGGACUUCUGGUUCAAAUACUGAAUCAGCAAUCAAUGAACAAAUGAAGGUACGUCCAGCCAACUGACCUGUUCUGGGGUUAGACAGGGUUUGUUUUUGGAGUAAUAAAUUCAGCUACUCGGGAAUUUGGCUCCAGCUGCAGAUGUAGCAGAGGAGAUGGCUUUGCUUGGCAUCAAUAGGAGGAGAUGCCCUUGGUCCUAUAAAGGCUAAAUACCCCAGUGUAGGGGAAUACCAGAGAUUUGAGGUGAGAGUGGGUACAUCCUCAUAGAACCAGGUAGAUGAGGGAGGGGAAUGGGAGGGGAGAAUAACAUUUGAAAUGUAAAUACAUAAAAUAUUCAAUUAAAAAAAACCAGUAGGAUUAAUUCAGAAAGACUGGUGGUCAGAAAAACUCAACCACAUUGUAGUCUCCUGGCAAAGAGAAACCCCAGGGUCAAGGUCAAAAUGACUCCUCCACCAUGUGGUGACUGUUUUAAGUAGGAAGCUGACCUGUUCAACCAGAGGAAUCAUGGGUAGAAUAAGUCCCAACUUUGACAGGUGGCAGAAAUGGAGCUAUAUUCUCCUAGACUUCAGAGUAAGCUAGCUGUGUGUUCCUGUGUUUUACACUUGCAUCUCAAGAUGUCCUCUGCAGAGGAAGCAAGGUCAUAGAGUAUCCAGAAUCCAUGGCAAAGUCUCUUGCCUCUAGUAGGUUGGAAGACAUUACUAAACUCAGACACAGGAACAUGGUUAGUCUACAGUGUAAGUCUUUUAGAGACUCAACCUCUGCAUAGAAUAGAUGGGUACACCUGACAGGCAGUGCUCAGAUCACUGAGCAGUGACAUUCUGUUCCGUUGGGAGGUGCAAGUCUUUGUUUUCGAUGCUCUGCCCAAGACCCUUCCCUUGAAAGUGUGUGAAAGGUGCCAGGUCCAGUCUUUAGGUAUGUCUUGCCUUGGGCCAGUGAGAACUUGUAGCAAGACAGUCAGGCACAAGAGCUUCAUCCAUAUCUCCAUAAUGAAAUUUGCUCUACCUCAGAAGCUCCCUCUUGUGUAUCUUAAGGCCUUCUUUCUCAGGGAAAUUACAUGCUUCACAAUAGUCACAAAUAUUAUAAAAUACCCUGGGGUAACUCUAACCAAACGAGUGAAGGUUCUGUAUAUAACAACUUCAAGUCUCUAAAUAAAUAAAUAAAUAAAUAGGAAGAAGAGCUCAGAAAAUGGAGAGAUAUCCCACAAUUAUGAACUAGUAGGCUAAACCUAGUAAAAUGGCCAUCUUAACAAAAUCAGUUUACAGAUUAAAUGCAAUCCCCAUCAAAAUCCCAACACAAUUCAUUAAAAACAUGGAAAAAGCAAUUCUCAAUUUCAUGCUGCACAUGAUUUUUAAAAACCAAGAUCCACAUACAAGUAGUACUAUUUCCCUGUGAGAAAAUGAAAUACGGGCAAAUAUCUUUUCUGGCAGAGGCUGAGUAGGAUAGUGGAAAGUAUUGUUUAUAGACAACGAGAUCAUAAUAUUUUCCAGGAACGGUCAAAGAGAUGGAAUACAGCCAGAACUGAGGAGCUAGUGGGUUGGUAGCAGCUGGGAUAGGCUAACAGUUCUUUGAAAUUUACUAGUUCCCAGUUAGGUUCAAUGGGAGCCUACUGUUUCAUUAGAGUCUGAAAUUGCCUCAACACAAAAUCUCAUGUGAGCAGCCAGUACUGGUGCAUACCUUUAAUCACAGCACAUAGGAGGCAGAGUUAUGCAGAUUUCUUGGAGUUCAAGGUCAGCCUGGUCAACAACACAAGUUUCAGGAGAGCCUGACCUGCUACAGAGAGAAACUCUGUCUCGGAAAACAAAAGGUUGGGGCAAAACAGCUCAUGUGAGCUAUGCAAGAUGGCUGACAGACACAACUGAGUACACAGACAGGGUCCUAGAAUUCUUAGGCUAGGGUCUCAGGGAAAGAAAACCAAAGGGUUCUGAUGACAGUUGUCCUUUCUCCUCUUUCUCCUCUGGUUCUCUUCCAUGGUCUGAGGAACUGGGGCUGUGAAAAUAGAAACAAUCCCUAUGUAUUCUCUACUCUGCACAAGCUGGAGUCUCCUCAUCCUUGGCCAUGUGUGGCUGGCACGUAGACUUGCAGACUGGAGAUGCCCUGGAAUUGAACUCACUGCCCCAUGUUUGCAGAACAGUUAAGAAAAAACAUACCUGGAGAACCUUACUAGGAAGAUUUUGAGGGCUGAAAGUUAUGGCUGCUUUGAGCUCUCAAGGGAACUGAUGCCUGGGAUCCUAAGGAUCUGAAUACAUGGAGAAGGACAAAGAAAUUUCCAAUCUGAGGUCUUUGGAUCCUUAAGCCAAUAGAACAGAAUAGAGAGGAGAGCUGCUAACCAAACACUUCGGUCUUCUUGUCUAAAGAUCUCAACUUAUGGAGUCCAUGACCCUGGAUUUGCAUGGGUGGAUGUUCUGGGCCAUUGCUACAUCAUGGAUGUUUUCCCGGCCUGUGGGUUGUGUGGGGACCUGAUUUGAUGCUGAACCACGGAUUCCAAGUCCAAGACAAAGAGAGCUCUCCCAGCAAAACUCCUGAAGUACAGCAGAAGAAUAAAGGGAAUAAAAAGGAAGCCAAAAGACAGAAAAUACAGAAAGGAAGGGAAGAAAAAAAGCAGAGACAACAGGCUGAGUAUCUAAGAGUGGAAGGAGGGAAGGAAUGAAAAAGAGGGAGUAAUGGAAGUGAGAGUAGGGUAGAGAGUAUGAUGAAUUGAAAGGACUGACAUAUUUUUGACCUCUAGAUGGCAUUUCUCGAGACCCUGAAGCUCAUGAACAAAGUCCAGAAUCUCAUGGGCACUGGCUGAUUCCAAGAAAUGAGAUAUAUAUGCAGAAAGGUAUCUAAAAAACAGGUCAGAGGCAAUUGGGGGAGAUUCCUAACCUUGAUCAGCAAGUUACCCACAUAUCUGUGCCCCAGUUGAUGAAUCCGAAAUAGUGUUCCUCAUCACUGUGCAAACAUGGCCGCCUCGAGAUCACAAAGCCCAUAUUCGCAAGUAGCUGAAUUUAUUACUCAGAGAAGCAAGCUGGCUAACCGCAGAACCUGCCAGUUGGCUCAAGCUACCUUCACUUUAAUAUUUGAACCAGAAGCUGAAGCACUCCUCACCCACUACCAGACUUGCCAAGGAAAAGCUUAUGGAGGUGUUGAUAAGAACAGCAAAGCAAUUCCACUGGAUGGCAGUGUAGUAUCAAGAAUGUGAAGAUACCCUUCUUACAGGUUCUCUCCCUCCGCCCUUCUUGGAGUGAAAAAAAAAAAAAAAACUGAAACAGUUCAACAUAACACUUGACUCUGAUAUAUGUUAGAUAGAAAUUGGUUCCUUAUGUCUACAGUACCUAUUAUCACUGAUCUGACCUGGGUGGUCUCUGUUUCAGUGUAUUAAGAUAUUCUCCCACAAGGACAGGGACCAUCCUCAAGGCAUAAGGGCCAAACAGGAAAACCCAAUGAGGAUCCCUUCCCCUGGAUGCAAGGGUCAGGAGAAGCCAUAGAAACAAACUUCUAGCCAGAGACUUAGUCUGGGGCACAGUACAGCACCAUCAGUUCAGCACUCGAGUUCGCACUAAAUUCGGAACUGCAAAGCUAGAAAGAAGAGUCAGAAGACGCAAUACAUAUAAAUUCUUCAGAAGAAACGGGACCUUGGGCUGAGUACAAGUCCCUCCUGUGCUACCAAGAUAUAUCUAUUCUUCAGUCCUUUGCCCCCAGACAUUUUGAGAGAAAACACACUGAAUUAUUGGUGGGAACAUUAAGAACAGAUCACUUGCUGACAGUAUUGAACCAAGAAGCCAAGGUACCCAUCUUUCAGGUUCUCUCCCUCCACCCUUCUUUGAUAAACAACAACAACAACAACACCACACACACACACACACACACACACACACACACACACACACACACACAUUUUGCCAAUAAAUCCCAAGUUGACUGACCUUAAUCAUGGCCUCCUUUGGCCAGAGAUGGGCUUUGGAGCUUCACUGUAUACAUACUGUCUCGGAGGUCACAGGCCACACAAGUUCCUCAUUCCCAGUCCAACACAAGAACGUGGCAUGCCCUCAGAAACAUACAGGAAAACUAAGAGCAAUGGUCAAAAGAAGGUCUACAAAUACAUUCUUAGGCAGAAACUUGACCUUGGGCAACAUAUGACUCACUCACAUCUUUCCAGAAAUAAUCUGACUGGCCCAUAUGUACAUAACUUAUAACUGGAAUUUUGUCAGUGAGUGCCAAGGUAAACCAUAGAGUGUUCAGUCCUCCCACGGGGAAGAAGAGAUUGUAUAGCCAUUCGACAACCAAGCUUCUAGUUCAAGGCUACCUGAUUCUUCUCCCUACACAUACAUACCAGGCUCCUGACAGGAAAAGUUGGAAGGACAAAUAAGGAAGACAGUUGGAACAAUAGAGACAACCAGCUAUUCAAACAGAGUCAAGGGCCAGUGAUACAUUCAAACCUAGAAGAAGGAGAUGCCAGGUUGUAGUGAAGAAGAAAAAAAAAAAAAAAAACCACACACAAACACACAGAUGCUUUCCUUUUUGAGUGCCCUAGUUCCUUUUUUACAAACCAGAGUCAAAAUAAAAACUACAACUGUCACCCAAACUCUUUGGUCUUCUUGUCCAGAGAACCCAACCUGUGCAUUCCCAGACCUUGUCUGUACUUCCUGUCAGCCAUAUUGUAAAGUUCAUGUGAGUUUUUUGUGUUAAGUCACUUUAUCCUCUAAUGAAACAUUGGGCUUCUAGAAUAUUCACCUGGGAACUAUGUCAAAGAACUGUUAGCCCUACAGAUACUACGUCAGAGUAAAAGGUUGGGAAAAAAGGUCUUCCAAGCAAAUGGUCCCAAGAAACAAGCUGGAGUUGCCAUCCUAAUAUCCAAUAAAAUACACUUUCAACCAAAAGUUAUCAAGCAAGAUCAUCAAGAAUAAAAAUCCACCAUGAGAAAGUCUCAAUUCUGAACAUCUAUACCCCAAAUGCAUGUGCUCCCACAUUCAUAAACUUUACUAAAGCUCAAAACACACAUUGAACCCUACACAAUAAUAGAGACUUAGUCACCCCACUCUCGCAGAACACUGAAACACAAGCUAAACAGAGACACAGUGAAACUAAUAGAGGUCAUGAACCAAAUGGAUUUAACAGAUUCUUUUUUCUUUUCUUUUUUUUUUUCCGGAGCUGGGGACCAAACCCAGAACCUUGCGCUUGCUAGGCAAGCGCUCUACCACUGAGCUAAAUCCCCAACCCUGAUUUAGCAGAUAUUUACAGAACAUUUCACCCUAAAACAAAAGAAUGCACCACUUUUGCAACGCCUCAUGGUACCUUCUCCACAGCUGACCAUGUAAUUGGUCACAAAACAGGCCUCAAAAGAUACAAGAAGGUUGAAAUAACCCCAUGUAUCCAAUCAGAUCACCAUGACCUAAGGAUGGUCUUCAAUAACAACAAAAACAACAGACAACCCACAUACCGAUGGAAUCUGAACAACUCUCUAAUCAAUGAUAAAUUGGUCAGAGAGGAAAUAAAGAAGAAAAAAAGACUUCCUGGAAUUCAAUGAAAAGG